UUUCCGUAGGUGAACCUGCGGAUGGAUCAUUAACGCACAAAAUGUGAGGGGCACGCGAGGGCUGUCGCUGACCCUCAAGUCGUGCACUCACGAGUGCGCCCUCUUGCAAAAUAAUCCCUCCCACCCUUUGUGCAUCACCGCGAGGGCACCCUUCGGGAUCAUCUCGGAGGGGGGCUCGCGUUAUCACACAAAUCCGCCGUUUAAUAGUGUAGAUUGACAACAUUUAUGCUAACCAUACAUCUUUCAACAACGGAUCUCUUGGUUAUCGCAACGAUGAAA
rnacentral:misc_RNA from 1 species